rnacentral:piRNA from 1 species
UUUGAUGGGGUGCUUGCAUUGAAUCUGUA